rnacentral:rRNA from 1 species
GCGGCAAACGGGUGAGUAAUAUCUGGGAAUCUGCCCAAAAGAGGGGGAUAACUACUAGAAAUGGUAGCUAAUACCGCAUAAAGUUGAAAAACCAAAGUGGGGGACCAUUAGGCCUCAUGCUUUUGGAUGAGCCCAGACGAGAUUAGCUUGUUGGUAAGGUAAAAGCUUACCAAGGCUACGAUCUCUAGCUGGUCUGAGAGGAUAACCAGCCACACUGGAACUGAGACACGGUCCAGACUCCUACGGGAGGCAGCAGUGGGGAAUAUUGCACAAUGGGCGAAAGCCUGAUGCAGCUAUGCCGCGUGUAUGAAGAAGGCCUUAGGGUUGUAAAGUACUUUCGUCAGGGAGGAAAAAAGUAAAACUAAUAAUUUUAU